rnacentral:rRNA from 1 species
UACGUAGGAGGCGAGCGUUGUCCGGAGUUAUUGGGCGUAAAGGGUGCGUAGGUAGUCCGAUAAGUUAGCCGUGGGAAAUCGGGGCCUAACCUUGCGGAAGCUGCUAAUACUGUGGGACUAAGAGGACAGGAGAGGUUAACGGAACUCUCUGUGGAGCGGUGAAAUGCGUAGAUAUAGGGAAGAACACCAAAGAGGCGAAGGCAGUUAACUAUUCUGAUCCUGACAUUGAGGCACGAAAGCGUGGGGAGCAAAGCGG